AAGGUAAAGCUCAAAUGUCUCUA
rnacentral:siRNA from 1 species